rnacentral:rRNA from 1 species
CCAGUGAUAAAAUUAAACGGCCGCGGUACCCUAACCGUGCGAAGGUAGCAUAAUCACUUGUUCCCUAAAUAGGGACUCGUAUCAACGGCAUCACGAGAGUUGUACUGUCUCCCCUUUUUAAUCAGUGAAACUGACCUCCCCGUGAAGAGGCGGGGAUACCUAUACAAGACGAGAAGACCCCAUGGAGCUUUAAACCCAAUGACAAUCUCUAUUGAUUUCACCUAAAAAACAAAGAGAAAAUGCCUAUUGGUUUUAGGUUGGGGUGACCGCGGAGAAGAACUAAACCUCCAUGACGAACGGGACCUAUCCUAAUCUAUGAGUUACUACUCUAGGAAUCAAUAAUUUGACGUAAAAUGAUCCGGCAAAACCGAUCAACGAACCAAGUUACCCUGGGGAUAACAGCGCAAUCCACUUCAAGAGCCCCUAUCGACAAGUGGGUUUACGACCUCGAUGUUGGAUCAGGGUAUCCCAGUGGUGCAGCCGCUACUAAAGGU